rnacentral:rRNA from 1 species
UACGAAGGGGGCUAGCGUUGCUCGGAAUCACUGGGCGUAAAGGGUGCGUAGGCGGGUCUUAAGUCAGGGGUGAAAUCCUGGAGCUCAACUCCAGAACUGCCUUUGAUACUGAGGAUCUUGAGUUCGGGAGAGGUGAGUGGAACUGCGAGUGUAGAGGUGAAAUUCGUAGAUAUUCGCAAGAACACCAGUGGCGAAGGCGGCUCACUGGCCCGAUACUGACGCUGAGGCACGAAAGCGUGGGGAGCGAACAGG